GUUUUAAAAAUUGUACUUUACAGAUUGGUGUAUGAUUGGAUGAAUGGACAUGGAUAUCCCUUAGAGAUUAUACAUAUCAAAGACUGGAAAAAAAGGUAACUCUAAAUGACAUAUAAAUUGUGUAUGGUACCAUUAAACGGUUUGUCUGCAUAAGAAACACGUGUAAAAAUCAAAUUUCUCUAGUCAAAGCUAGACUAAUUGCAUAUUAAAUAACUAUCCAAAAGCCGGAGGGUUAUUAGAACCAAUAGACUUUUGUUUACCCUAAUUUGUCACAUAUUACCCUGCUUCUGUAUUUAGAAAUGAAUUUGAAAUCUUUACUGUUGUCAACUUCCACCAUUUUGUCAACGUCAGUGUAUUUUAUUCUUCAUUUUCAUCUCCUAGUAUAAAAAAGAAAGUCGAUCAACAAUGUAAGCUUUAUCUAUAUAAUUCUAUUUUGGUAUGCUCCUACGUUUAGCAAAGGUAUACUGCAAACCAUUUUAUUUUACAUAGCACUGCGUUGUACAUUGGAGGAAACAAAAUUAUGAGUUAUACAUUUGAUUUUAUAAUAUUGACUUACGUCUGCACAAUGGACACUUUCUCUCGUGGUUUAGUUUGCCACCUAUGUUUUAUAGAAAUUAACAAUGAUGAUCGGAUGAAAACAAAAUUUUUCGACACACGAGAUGUUAACUUUCCAUUUCAAUGUAGCAAUAUAACAGCAGCGCCUUUGCAUGGAGGUUGAAUCUCCUAGCUAUAACGGCGGUCCAGGUCUUGUCUUUCCUAUCAUGGUUUCAUUGAAAGGAGGUUGCUACUUACAAGGAAGCUAUUAAACCAAUAGUUCCAACCGGUGAAGUUGAAAUCAUCCCUUCGUAAAUUUUAGGGACGAGUUGAGUCACCGUAACGCAAUAUCCGUUUCACAGAUGAUAACGGAUAUGUUCCUCAUGUUGUAACUACGAUCCUGUCCCCUUUUAAUGAAUAUGACCUUCAAAAUUAGACUGAUUACUGGACGAGUACUAACAUGGGCAAUACGGGAUCAACAAUUGGAAUAGUUUUAUCAAUGUAGUGCCAUCAAAUAUUCCUGCUAGCCCCUACUUUCUUUCAUAAAUUUAUACCAUAUAGUUUUAAAAAAUCAUAUUUGUAAUUGCCAAAAACCCUUGUCAAUGUUUUAUAAUUUUUUAAACAAAGGGUUCAAAUGUUAAAUGAAUGCAGGCUAGAAGGAAUUAUUUCCCAAUACAUUAACAAUGGUUUAUUUCUCGAAAACAAGCUCGAAGCCCCUUCUUUAUUUCUGAAUUUUAAGUUUCUUUGAUUAUAUUCCAUCAAUUUCAAAUAGUUUUCUAAAAGCUUGUUAUCUCAAAACAGAGUAGUUAACGUACAUGUAGGAGAUUUAUAUGUUUGAUAAAUUAAAAACGUCUUUUAUAGAAUUCUAGAAGAGCUGAAAAGAGAAAAAAAUCACGUAUAUACUGAAACCAAUUUGCAAAGUCUGUUAGAGUUAAAUCAUAAGUAUGUAUAUUUGAUGAUAUAAACUAGUGUAUACUGUACCAUGCAAAAGACAUAAUUGCUUUCAAAUGUUAACCACAAUUGACACAAAAGUAAAAUAACACACAUGUCGAAUACACCGUAUGCUAAGUCUUUAAAUGUAUAAAAGGAAGUGAAAUGAAUUUAUGGACAGGUUUUGUCUCUUUGAAAUUGAUAAAAAGACGAAUUGCUGUAGUAAAGUUAAUAUGAUUUGUGUUAUAAGAAUUUAUAAUGUAUUGUGCACAAAUCUAUUUUUGCAACUUGAAGUUUUACAAAUUUGUUAAAUAAGCACUGUGACAAUAUCAAGUGUUCAUAAGUUAAUAAAUAACAUCUUCACGAUUGUACGGUCUUGAGAAACCAAAGGAAUGAUGUAUUGUGAUUUUAUUGCAUUCACUUUAGACACAUAAUAAUUUCGUUUAAUAACAGUUCUGUUAUAUGUAACCACCAACCAUUUCACAUACUAAGUAGGUAUAAAAACGUUUGUCAUGAUUUUUGUAUUAAUUGAUGAUUUUCCUUUUCCAAUAGUGACGAUUUCUGUUCCACUUUGAAGACCUACAAGACCGCCAAUUUCAAAGAGGCAUUAACAGAUUUCAAGUUAUCAUAUCCAUACACUGAUUACAUAGUACUGCAAAAAUAUUUUGAAUGGUUAUCUCAGCAUGGAGACACUGUUCCUUAAGUACACAAGACUCACAUAUCAGGUGAGUUCCUAUAUGUGUUGUCGUCUGUCUUGUAAAAGAAUUAUAUUCACUUCAAACUUAGUACAGUAUGACCAUGGUGUACAAAAGUUUUUUUAUGUUUGUCCUUACACAAGUAACACUUCGGUGUCACAUAUGAAGCACAUAAUCUGAUCAUCUUUUUCGAAGAACCUAAAAUCGACACCAGUUUUAAAUGGAAAUUAUAUUGCUCAGUCUCUAGUUUUCUAUGUUGUCCUCUGUAAACCGUUAUUGUCUUAUGGUUUCCCAUGACUCUGUUAGUUUGAAUAUAUAAGUGAUAUCAUCUAUGCAUAACGUGUUUAAAUGGUAGUUAGCGGGAAAAAACAAGUAUAUUCUAUUCAGGUCAUGCCGCUUUGCAAGCAGAACUAUAGAACGAGUUUCAAAAGUAAAUUUUUAAAGUAUUACUAUUGACAAGUUUAUUUCUAAUUCGCAGAGUUAUUUUAGAGAAAAUUUACUUUCUUAAAAAUGAAAAAAGGAUAUAAUGAUCAUGCGUCCCAAUCGCUUUACUGGAUUUACCUCCAACGGAAAUGAUAACAAAUGAAUAUUUGAAAGGCACGUUUGUCAUACAAAACAAAAUUCAUGAUGCACAAGACAUAUGAUAUAAACGACAAGAGAGCAGAUCAUGAACAUGUCCAAAUGUGUCUGGUGAGCAACAAAUAAAUUACAUUGUAUCGAUGAUAUGCGCUGAAAAAACUCGUCAAAAGGUUAAAUUAGGCGACCAUUUAAUUGAUGCUUUAGGCAUAUAAUUCUUCAAAUCUCAUGAUUUAUAAUCACGCACAGCUAAAUAAAACAAAUGUUAAUCAUGCCUCACUCAGGGCCAUAGAAAUUUUCGGUGUUCUUCCGUACGUCAUGUCAGUUCGCCCUUAUGUCCAGCUUUAUGUCAAAGGUGUUGGCCAAUAUAAGUUAUGAUGUGUUAGUCUAAUCAACUUGAAACUUUCAUACAGUACACAUGUUUGAUAUUUUGGUAUUUUAACGCCAUUUUUACGCACUGCAUUAAUGCGUUCAGUUUUUACUGGUAGUGGAAGCCGGAGUGCCCGGAGAAAGCCAUCGACUACACAUGUUAGAUAUAGUCUUUCAAAUUAAGUGUCAAAUUAGAGUUUUUAUCCCAUUUUCACGUUCAACUGAAACUAUAAAAUGAUUAUGCGAGUGGGGUAUAUGUGUAUCAUGACCACUUUCUUGUUGAUUUUAUGUCAUUUUGGCACCACGUGUACGAAAAUAUCAUUUUGCAUAAUACGUGUAAUAUAUAUAUUGAUAGAUAUAUGCGUAUAAUUUCCAAUUUCUAUUUUACAGACGCAAACCAAAUUUGAUAUGACGUCCUUCUAUGUGAUCCUAGUAGCAAAUGACAUUGCCAAAAGUGUACUUUAUGCUGUAGAGCGACCACAUUAUAUGAGUGUUAAUGAAAUAUUCGUACAGUCAUAUAAGAAUUAAUUAUUUUUGUUUAGUGAUUAGCAAGUGAGAAUUAAUCUUCUUGUAUGAGUAAAAACAAGUCGUUGCAUGCAGAACUGGGAAACUCUGUGGCAUAUAGGUGCUGUAAAACAAGAUGAGGUAUAUCACAUGUAACUUUAAAGGCAACAAGCGUCUAAUGUUCAACUAAGUGUAAUUUUAUGAUUAUAAUAAUAGAUAGUAAAU
rnacentral:lncRNA from 1 species